GACGAACGCUGGCGGCGUGCUUAACACAUGCAAGUCGAACGGUGAAGGGACCAGCUUGCUGGUUCUGGAUGAGUGGCGAACGGGUGAGUAACACGUGAGUAACCUGCCCCCUUCUUCUGGAUAACCGCAUGAAAGUGUGGCUAAUACGGGAUAUUCUGGGUCUGUCGCAUGGCGGGCCCGGGAAAGAUAUUGCUUCGGUGGGGGAUGGGCUCGCGGCCUAUCAGCUUGUUGGUGGGGUGAUGGCCUACCAAGGCGGUGACGGGUAGCCGGCCUGAGAGGGGGGACGGUCACACUGGGACUGAGACACGGCCCAGACUCCUACGGGAGGCAGCAGUGGGGAAUAUUGCACAAUGGGCGCAAGCCUGAUGCAGCGACGCCGCGUGAGGGAUGGAGGCCUUCGGGGUGUAAACCUCUUUCGCCAGUGAAGCAGGCCUGCUCCUUGUGGGUGGGUUGACGGUAGCUGGAUAAGAAGCGCCGGCUAACUACGUG
rnacentral:rRNA from 1 species